UUAUGGCUCAGGAUGAACGCUGGCGGCGUGCCUAACACAUGCAAGUCGAGCGGAGAUAGGUUGAAGCCUAGCGAUUCUUAUCUUAGCGGCGGAUGGGUGAGUAACACGUGGGUAACCUGCCCUGUACUGGGGGAUAACAGCUGGAAACGGCUGUUAAUACCGCAUAUGCGCACGGAGCCGCAUGGCCCUGGGCGGAAAGAUUCAUCGGUACAGGAUGGGCCCGCGCCGGAUUAACUUGUUGGCGGGGUAACGGCCCACCAAGGUGAUGAUCCGUAGCCGACCUGAGAGGGUGACCGGCCACAUUGGGACUGAGACACGGCCCAAACUCCUACGGGAGGCAGCAGUGGGGGAUAUUGCACAAUGGGGGAAACCCUGAAUGCAGCGACGCCGCGUGAAGGAAGAAGUAUUUCGGUAUGUAAACUUCUAUCAGCGGGGAAGAAGAUGACGGUACCCGCACAAGAAGCCCCGGCUAACUACGUGCCAGCCGCCGC
rnacentral:rRNA from 1 species